GUAGGUGGAGAUAGAAAACAACAUUUCACUUUUAGAAGAGAAAGAUAAAGAGGUGAAGGAAGUCCUGAGAAAACUGGACAAUCAGGAUAAACUGGACAUAGACGAAGCAGUGGUCACUACGACUCCACUAUACAGACAGCUGCUGAAUUCCUUUGCUGAGGAGCAGGCAAUAGAGGAUGCUAUAUAUUAUCUGGGAGAGGCUCUGCGUAAAGAUGUCAUUGAUCUGGAUGUAUUCCUCAAACAAGUACGUGAGUUAUCCAGGAGGCAGUUUUUGAUUA